ACGCUCGACACCUACAGGAGGCAGCAGUGGGGAAUAUUGCACAAUGGGGGAAACCCUGAUGCAGCGACGCCGCGUGAGUGAAGAAGUAUUUCGGUAUGUAAAGCUCUAUCAGCAGGGAAGAAAAUGACGGUACCUGAGUAAGAAGCCCCGGCUAACUACGUGCCGGCAGCCGCGGUAAUCUGAGCGGCUGGCAAGGC
rnacentral:rRNA from 1 species